rnacentral:rRNA from 1 species
AUUGAACGCUGGCGGAAUGCUUUACACAUGCAAGUCGAACGGCAGCACGGACUUCGGUCAGGUGGCGAGUGGCGAACGGGUGAGUAAUGUAUCGGAACGUGCCCAGUCGUGGGGGAUAACGUAGUGAAAAUUACGCUAAUACCGCAUACGAUCUAUGGAUGAAAGCGGGGGAUCACAAGACCUCGCGCGAUUGGAGCGGCCGAUAUCAGAUUAGGUAGUUGGUGGGGUAAAGGCCCACCAAGCCAACGAUCUGUAGCUGGUCUGAGAGGACGACCAGCCACACUGGAACUGAGACACGGUCCAGACUCCUACGGGAGGCAGCAGUGGGGAAUUUUGGACAAUGGGCGAAAGCCUGAUCCAGCCAUUCCGCGUGCAGGAUGAAGGCCCUCGGGUUGUAAACUGCUUUUGUACAGAACGAAAAGGUUUCUACUAAUACUAGGAGCUCAUGACGGUACUGUAAGAAUAAGCACCGGCUAACUCUGUGCCAGCCGCCGCCGUAA